CGUGGUUACUUCAAAAAACUGUAAAAUAGCGGACCUAAGGUAUAAAACCGUCAAGAGGCUUCAAUGAAAGAGGUGACUCCAGAACCGACUCGAAGACGCCCAACUAUUAGCUUCUUACUUCGGCGGUGGAAGUAAUAAGGAAAAAGUUUGCAAUUUCAACCUGCGAGCGUAAAGAACCCGUUUUCGAACCCAUUGAUAAAGAUAACCUUUCAUAUGACUAACCUGACCUAAUCAAUUGCUAUUGUCUUGUUGCUUUUAUACAUAUCUUUAAAUCUUUUGAUUUUUAAUAUUUUCGUAGUAAUUUCUAGUUUCACCUCUAUUCAGUGGUGUAACUAUACUAAUCUGACAUGCUUCUAGCUUGUGUCGAAAAAAAACAUUUUUCUUUACGAUAAGGUUGUAAAUUAUUACUAAUUACCGCGUGCUCUUAUCGAAUGCUGGCGCCAAGGCAGAGACUGAGUAAUUAUUUGAUGGCCAUUGGUGGAUUAGUUUACUUUCAACAGUUACAAAAAAACUACUAAGCAAUUUACUGUGAAGGAAAAAAUCCCAGUUCAUAUCUACGCAGAUUGCCUUUUUGAAGCAAUUCUUAUGUUUAUUUAAAAGAUUAUUCUACCA